rnacentral:rRNA from 1 species
UACGGAGGGUGCAAGCGUUAUCCGGAUUCACUGGGUUUAAAGGGUGCGUAGGUGGGCAGGUAAGUCAGUGGUGAAAUCUCUGGGCUUAACUCAGAAACUGCCAUUGAUACUAUCUGUCUUGAAUACCGUGGAGGUCAGCGGAAUAUGUCAUGUAGCGGUGAAAUGCUUAGAUAUGACAUAGAACACCAAUUGCGAAGGCAGCUGGCUACACGAAUAUUGACGCUGAGGCACGAAAGCGUGGGGAUCAAACAGG